AACCAGCGUGGAUAGCAUACGUUUUCCAGAGCCUUGGCUACGCAGGGUGAUGGCAUACUUUUUAGCUUUUGCCAAUCUGAUAGGUGAGAAAUGGCAUUUCAGUGUAGUUGUACUUUGCCUUUCUCAUGUAUGUGAGGUUUUCAAAUGUUUAAGAGCUAAGAGGCUGCUGAAACGCCGAGGCAGACAAAGCAACGUGAAGCUCGCUGCCCUGGAUGUCACCCUUCCUGCUGCCCCGCAUGGCGCACACCUCAGAGCUGCUCGGAGCCUUCGUCGGCCCCGCCCUGCCGGAGAUCAGCAGCCUGCCAGAGCCUGUUGGACCAGAAAGCUUAGCACCAGCUUAACUCUUCACUCAGUGGGACAAGGGGCCUUUCUUUCACGCAGGGCUUGGCUCCACGAUAUGCUGGGUUUAUGGCCCCCAUGACUAAACCUGGUUCAGAAUCCAAUUCUAUCACAGAUUUUAGUUCAAAUGGUCAUUUUCCAAUCACCCCUUCCCAACUCCAUUUUCUGCCUGCCCUGCUGCCCCUUGGGGGUGGCCUGUGGUGGGGCUCGGUGCUGGCAGGACAUGCAUCCUGCUCCCUUACCGAGUUCUUUUGUUUCACUUCAUUUUCCCCGGGCACACUACCGUAUCGCUGCAGAUGGAAGCGCUUUUACUUCUAUUUCAAUGUGUGUGCCUCUAAUUGACUUCUCUAAUCUACUUGCAAGGACCAGUAUCUCUGGGAGGAUGUGCAAUAGAGGUGGAGUGGGCAUCCUGGCCUUGCGCCUGGUCUUUGUGGAAAUGCUCACGAUGUCUCCAUUAAGGGAGACGCUGGCUUUAGGACUCAGUGGAUCUCCCAACGCUGGGCCCGUCUCUACCCUCUCAUUCUCCAGGGCUCUGGGAAGUACUAUUUCCUCUCUGGCCCCUUCAGACCCAGGAUGGAAAGGGGGAGAUCCCCUCUGUGGCUGGUCUUGGAGACGCUUCCAACCCACGUAGGGUCCUGCCACCCUGCCUUCACCUCCGUAAGCUUUCCCUUCAUCUCAGGUGGAUGCUCUUGUGGCCCUGGUGACUGCAGUCACCGACCACGUGCCCUAUUUCAACAGGACACUUGUGUGUGGAGAUGACCUUUAGCACAGAUGAAAAGGGAGCUUUUCCUGGGGUUUCCGGAAACAUUUCUCUCCUGGGAUCUUUGUCUUCAUCCUGCCUUUUCCUGCCCCUUUAAAAAGAAAGUUCUUCCAUUUGUUAAUUUUUGAGAGUUUUUAUUGCCUUUUAUUUUGCUUGACAUUUUAUAAUCAAUCUUCUGUAUAUGUUUAUAUAUGCUUUUCUGUUUAAAUUUUGUUUUAAAUCUAAAAAACAUAGUACCAUACCGCCAAAGGUGUCAGGAAACACGCUCAAAUAAGGACAGGCUCCAAAGGCUGCUCUGCCAACAAAAUGCCAGUAAAAUCUGAAACCCGGGUUCAGACACACUGGGAAUGUUCCAAAAUUUAAAACUUAAAGAACCUCUUUAUUCCAGUAAAUCAGCUUCCCUGUGAAUACCAUCGAAAUCCUGUUUUAAUGAGGGAGGGAAUGUCAGAGGAAGGGGUGGAGAAGGAAGGGAUUUAGACGAGUACAAAAUUUAAUUUAAAAACUAUUAUGAGAAGUUUAAUUUCUCCCUCCCCCAACCAAAUACAUAAAUCUUUUCCUUGGGUUUUCUUUGUUUCAUUUUCUUUUUAAAAAAUUUUUAAAGGCAUCCUGAACCAUCUCAAACAAUG